GGUGAACGGCUGGCGGCGUGCCUAACACAUGGCAAGUCGAGCGGUGCAGUUUGAAGCUUCGGUGGAAAGCUGCAUAGCGGCGGACGGGUGAGGAAAACGUAGGAACGUGCCCCUUGGAGUUGGAUAGCCACGGGAAACUGUGGGUAAACCGACAUAGACUCGAGAGAGUAAAGGCCGAAAGGCGCCAAGGGAGCGGCCUGCGGCCCAUCAGGUAGUUGGUAGUGUAAAGGACUACCAAGCCGACGACGGGUAGCCGGUCUGAGAGGAAUGGCCGGCCACAAGGGCACUGAGAGACGGGCCCUACUCCUACGGGAGGCAGCAGUGGGGGAUUUUGGACAAUGGGCGAAAGCCUGAUCCAGCGACGCCGCGUGGAGGACGAAGCCCUUCGGGGUGUAAACUCCUUUUCUCAGGGAAAAAGGAUGAUGGUACCUGAGGAAUAAGCCCCGGCUAACUACGUGCCAGCAGACCGCGGUAAACAUACUCGUA
rnacentral:rRNA from 1 species